GUCCACGCCCUAAACGAUGCAUAUUUGGUGUAGGUCAUUCAGUUGAUCUGUGCCGGAGCUAACGCGUUAAAUAUGCCGCCUGGGGAGUACAGUCGCAAGGCUGAAACUCAAAGGAAUUGACGGGGGCCCCGCACAAGCGGUGGAGCAUGUGGUUCAAUUCGACGCAACGCGAAGAACCUUACCUGGGCUCGAACGGCUCACGAAAGCUGUGGAAACACGGUUUUCCCGCAAGGGACGGGAGUCGAGGUGCUGCAUGGCUGUCGU
rnacentral:rRNA from 1 species